UACGUAGGGUGCAAGCGUUAAUCGGAAUUACUGGGCGUAAAGCGUGCGCAGGCGGUUUUGUAAGCCAGAUGUGAAAGCCCCGGGCUCAACCUGGGAACUGCAUUUGGGACUGCAAGGCUGGAGUACGGCAGAGGGAGGUGGAAUUCCACGUGUAGCAGUGAAAUGCGUAGAGAUGUGGAGGAACACCGAUGGCGAAGGCAGCC
rnacentral:rRNA from 1 species